GACAAUGUUAAGGCUGAUGCUGUUGUUAGCUCAAGGACGCCGAUAGAGAUACAUAUGUAUAUAUAUGUAUAUAUGUACAUAUAUAUAUAUAUACAUAUAUACAUACAUAUAUACACACAUAGUCACUGCUGCUGACAGGCAUUUGAUAUUGAGACAAGGGAGCAGCGUGUCAGAAGCAAUAGUUAAUAUUAAGCUGCUGUCGACCUCUCCCGCUGAUGCUGCUGCUCCUCAUGCUCCUGGUAGAACUAGGACUGACGUCAAUUAUGUGAAGAGAAAAUAUGUCAAAGGCAGAGCCGAUGGCAAACGCAGGCAAUCAACAUUGCGAAUCGAUAAAAAGCAACUUCCAGGCAACUGGAGCUGGCGACGCCGCCAGUCAUUGAAUGACGAGUGCAAUCAAUUACAAGAUUUCCCACAUGACCACCUCGUGGGAGGCCCAAUGCACGGAGAUUGAGGCACGGCGUUCGCUGCGACUCACCAUCAUAUCCUCGGCCAGGCACUCGCAGGCUGCGCGCAGCAGCCACAUGUAGUCGACAACGCUGGUGAAGUUGACGUAGAGAAUCAUUUGGGUCUCGCGCGCUAUCUUAUACUUGGCCAGCACCGGCGCAAACACGUCGACUGAGUCUGGCUUGAUAGCUAUCGUAGAGCUCUGGCUGUUGUCCGCUAUGUCCAGCAUAUCGAAGAACUGCUGGCCAGUGAAGUGGCGAGUGAACGGCUCCAGUGACUUGUGGCGAUACAUGAAAAUGACGGCAUAAUCGUGAUCCAGAAAGUACUCGGCGCUCGCCGAGCCCCGAGUGCCGGCGCUAAA